CCUACGGGCGGCAGCAGUGGGGAAUAUUGCGCAAUGGGGGCAACCCUGACCCAGCAACGCCGCGUGAUUGAAGAAGGCCUUCGGGUUGGAAAGAUCCUUAAUCGGGGACGAAUUGUGACGGUACCCGAAGCAUAUGCUCCGGCGAACUACGUGCGAGCAGCCGCGGUAAUACGUAGGGAGCAAGCGUUAUCCGGAUUUACUGGGUGUAACGGGCGUGUAGGCGGGCAUGCAAGCCAGAAGUGAAAUCUGGGGGCUUAACCCCCAAAUUGCUUUUGGAACUGGGUGUCUUGAGUGAUGGAGAGGCAGGCGGAAUUCGUAGUGUAGCGGUGAAAUGCGUAGAUAUUGCGAGGAACUCCGGUGGCGAAGGCAGCCUGCUGGACAUUAACUGACGCUGAGGCGCGAAAGCGUGGGUAGCAAACAGGAUUAGAUACCCCAGUAGUC
rnacentral:rRNA from 1 species